GAAGGUAACACCACUGUGCUGACGGUGGUAGACAGGUUUUCUAAAAUGGCUCAUUUCAUUGCUCUACCCAAGCUCCCCUCAGCCAAAGAAACAGCAGACGUUAUGAUGAACAAUGUUUUCAGGCUCCAUGGGUUCCCCAGAGACAUUGUAUCGGAUCGUGGACCGCAGUUUAUUUCCAAGUUUUGGAAGGAGUUCUGCCAUCUCCUAGGUGCCACCGUCAGUCUCACUUCCGGUUAUCAUCCUCAGUCUAAUGGUCAGACUGAGAGGCUUAACCAGGAGCUGGAGACCUGCCUCCGCUGCUUAGUCUCACAGAACCAGGCCUCCUGGAGUAAGCACCUCACAUGGGUAGAAUAUGCCCACAACACACUUCCUACCUCUGCUACCGGGCUCUCACCCUUUCAGUGUGCUUAUGGAUAUCAGCCUCCGUUGUUUCAAGAGACAGAGGGUGAGGUCACAGUCCCCUCUGCCCAUGCCAUGGUACGUCGCUGCCACCGCAUCUGGGCUGCGGCUCGCAGGGUCCUGCUGCGUAGCGCCACAAGGAUGAAGAGUGUUGCAGAUCGGCAACGUCGGCCUGCUCCAUGCUACAGGCCAGGUCAGAAAGUCUGGCUGGCCACCAAGGACUUGCCUCUCCAUGUCAUGUCACCAAGGUCAAACCACUCACCGAGAGCACCUUGGUUCCCGCCUCCAAGCCCCCACCCCCACCCCGGAUUGUGGAUGGCGGUCCAACAUACACUGUCAAAAGGCUUUUGGCUGUCCGUAAGAGAGGACGAGGGAGGCAGUUCCUGGUGGAUUGGGAGGGUUAUGGCCCAGAGGAGAGGUCUUGGAUCCCAUCCAGUUUCGUGGUGGAUCGAUCCUUAAUAGAGGACUUUGACAGGCAAUAUCUUCAGGUGCCUGGGCCGUCAGGAGCCGUCCUUAGAAAGGGGGGUACUGUCAUGUCACGCAAAGUUUGUUAAUUCUGUUGAGCCAAGUUAAUACCACUCAUGUCAUUCACUUCCUGUUUUAUUUUGUAGUUCCCUUUUCCCUCUCGUUUCAGGCACUUGACUUUCUCAACUGUGAUUGCCUCCCCGGUCUCUGAUUCGUCUCACCUGUGUUCCCCUCCCUCAUGUAUAAAUAGCCCUUGUUUUCCUUUGUCUAAUGUCAGUUCGUCUUGCGUUCCUAGCGUAUUGUCAAGCCUCAGGAUUUGUUCGUUUUUGACACUUGCAGACACUACUGUAUUUAACUGUUUUGUAUACUCCUAAGCGAGCACCUUUUGGUUAUAAUUUUGUAUCCUCCAUGAGAGCGUUUUUUGUUACCUUUUUCUAGUAAAGCGUUUUGGUUUAAACAUACUGCCG
ensembl:lncRNA